AAGAAACUGCCCUUCAUCACCGAAACAACCUAGAGGAGGAGGAGGAUUCAUCGAUCUCGACCUCCGCGGCGAUGGAUUUCUCCGGCGGGGCCAGCGGGGACGGGGCGUAGUGAAGCUGUCGGAGAUGUAUUGGAGCGCACGGAGGCUGCUGCUCUCGGCCCACGUCGAGCGGCUCGCCUCGGUGCCGCUCGUCGGCGCGGCGGACCCGGCGGGAGCUGACGGGUGUGGAGGGAGGCGCGUGGCGUAGAUCCAGUGCGUGUGCGCGCUGAUGGACCGGCUCUAGCGCUCCAUCCCUAAGGGCCAGCCUGAUCUCUGGAUGAGGUGAGGUUGCCCUUCGAUGAGCCUGGGCAAAGCCUUUGAAUCAGGACAUGAAAUUUGAUCCAGCAAUUAGCAAUCUAAUCUACGUAUUAUUUAAUGGAGAAUGAUUGGAUCUUAGCUCCGCCCCUGUUUCCUUUGCAGAUUGAUUUGGUGUUUGCGCCGGUGCUGACCCCGUCGUCAUGGUUUUUUGUGGUUGUUGCAGGUUUGGUCCGGGCUUGGUUGAUGAUUCCCAGGGUUGCCGGUCUCGAUCUGUGCUGUCCAAUGAUUCUGUUAUUAGAGUUGAAGGCGUCUGUGAUUGCGGUGCAAGCCAGACCUAAGGGACGACCAACAGAACAUGCUUGAGAAGACGAUGGCACCCAUCAUGCAGUCGUUCCAUGGGAUCGUGACCUGCAUUGAGAUUUCUGUGCUCUGCGCUUCGCCAGACCGAGAUCAAAAAGACCCCCAUUGUAUCAAUUUACAUUGGUAACACUUUAUUAUGUCAAAUCGUUGAGUGUUCACAAUGACACUGGAAUGCUUAAAAUAUUCGCGUAGUUGCUCAGCCCCACGUAAUAUUCCAAGAGCGCAUAUUUUUUGUAUUUUUGAUUGUUCGUUAGAGUUCUAGAUACUAUGCUCGAGUAGAGUAGGUUUACUAUAACAGAUUGUUUAGGAACCACAGGUGCAGAAGGUCUUCUACCAUCUGCGGUGUGAGGGUUUUGAAGCAGAUAUUCAUUCUAUGCGACCACGACAGGGAUGGUAUGUAUUCUUUUUGUACUUGAGACUCUUAGAUUUCCAGUGGAGUUUUGGUUUCUCCCGCUGAGAUCGUACACUUGAUGUUUAUACUAUGCAUUCAAUCUAUUCCCACACCUAAGGUCUGUUAGUGUGGAAUCUUAUUUUCCUGUAGUGUGAUUACUAUAUGCACUUAUUUGCGUGUUUUCUCACUUUUAUUUGUAUAAUCGGCAUUCUGCAUAAGUAGGGCAGCAAGAUUCAGGUAUAUGAUUUGAGGUUCGUAGUGGAGAAGAGCUGUGAGAACCUGCAGUUGCUUUGUUUUAUUGGUAUGGACUAUGAACCGACCGCAUCUUUUCACUUCCCUUCCUAGCUCUUAGGUUACAUGUUAACUAUGAACUGAGAUAAGCAAAAUAUAUAGUCCUGACAUGAGGAGCCUCAUGUUUUAGACGGUCAUUUAAGCACAUUAUUAUCAACUAUUGAUUUUGUAAUAUUUAUUAGUAGUGCAUCACUAGAAUUAAUUUUUUUUGCUUAUUUUUACCUAUUAAGUAGGAUGAACAUGUAUUUUUCUUCUUAUAAAAACUAUAUGCAUUGCACGUGUACGCUAACUAUGGAUCAAUGUGUGAGAUGUGAAUGGACCAGAAAUAACUCUGUCUAUUCAGAAUUUGUGUAUUAGUUCACUGCGUCAUCAAUAGUUAUUAGUACAACAAACACCUGUAGGAAAAACUUGUAUUUAACCAAAUGUUAAUGGCCAUUUCGAAUCACUGGUUGUUUAAGAUUUACACUGCAUUUAUAUGAGUAAAAAAAAUGAUGUUGUUUUUUGUUUCAAUUUUGGGGUGAUGCAUCACACAUUUACGGCAGUUUUGGCAGAAGAGGGGAAGUGCAUACAUUUUUUGUUGUACAAUUGAUUUACUUGAUAAAAAAAGGUAAGCAUUUAGCAUGUCUUGCCGUUGUUUUAAAAGCAAUAUCCUGAUAGAAAAUACAAAUCAAUUGUGUUUUUUCCCUGUAGCGACACAUGGACAAUUGUCUUUUCUUUUUUUGCUCACAGGGAGAGAAAUACUGCGUGGGUCAAGUCGGGGAUUCAUGGCAAGGGAUUGACAAUUUUUUAUCAGAAGCAGUUCGUUACACACUGAAGUGUGACAGAAAAGGUGUGCCACUGUUUCCACAUCUCCUUUUGCGACACUAAUGUUUUUCCCAAGUCUUUUCUUCCUUUUUGUAUUGACCCAGGAAUAGUUUCGGCAUUGGAGUCAGUUUCUUCGCUGUUUUCAUUUUUCUUAUCGGGAAGUGUGAAGCUAAAUUGUGGAAUUUUUCCCAAGUCCCAGGUUUGCAUAGGCCCUUAUUACUGGUGUGCGGGUAUGGGCACAUGAGGGGUGUGCUACUGAUAUUUUUAUGUGAGAUGUUUGUUUCUCAUUUUAGCGGUCAUUCAAGUGUGAGUUAUGUGUAUCCGCAACGUGUAAUUGAGUGCGGGAACUUUUAUUAUACCUUAUCAAGGCCAUUUACAGGUUUACAUAAGCAUUUGGUUAGCAGCCUCAUCUAUGAACUAUCCGUUGAUCUAACUAUCCCUUAAUCUUUUUUCUCAGAUUUUAGUUAUCCAUUGCUUAUACAAUGAAAUUAAGAUCAAUUGCAGGGAUGCAUAUCGACAUACUGAACACAAUAAUAAUAACUAGCUUUCUUAUUCCUUUAGAACCUAUCAAAACACCAAACAGAUUAACAACAUAUAUG
rnacentral:lncRNA from 1 species